AUUAAGUCAAAUGUGAAAUCCCCGAGCUUAACUUGGGAAUUGCAUUCGAUACUGGUUGGCUAGAGUAUGGGAGAGGAUGGUAGAAUUCCAGGUGUAGCGGUGAAAUGCGUAGAGAUCUGGAGGAAUACCGAUGGCGAAGGCAGCCAUCUGGCCUAAUACUGACACUGAGGUGCGAAAGCAUGGGGAGCAAACAGGAUUAGAUACCCUGGUAGUCCAUGCCGUAAACGAUGUCUACUAGCCGUUGGGGCCUUUGAGGCUUUAGUGGCGCAGCUAACGCGAUAAGUAGACCGCCUGGGGAGUACGGUCGCAAGACUAAAACUCAAAUGAAUUGACGGGGGCCCGCACAAGCGGUGGAGCAUGUGGUUUAAUUCGAUGCAACGCGAAGAACCUUACCUGGUCUUGACAUAGUAAGAACUUUCCAGAGAUGGAUUGGUGCCUUCGGGAACUUACAUACAGGUGCUGCAUGGCUGUCGUCAGCUCGUGUCGUGAGAUGUUGGGUUAAGUCCCGCAACGAGCGCAACCCUUUUCCUUAUUUGCCAGCGGGUUAAGCCGGGAACUUUAAGGAUACUGCCAGUGACAAACUGGAG
rnacentral:rRNA from 1 species